rnacentral:rRNA from 1 species
UGGGGAAUUUUGGACAAUGGGCGCAAGCCUGAUCCAGCAAUGCCGCGUGCAGGCUGAAGGCCUUCGGGUUGUAAACUGCUUUUGUACAGAGCGAAAAGGUCUGCCCUAAUACGGUGGGCUCAUGACGGUACCGUAAGAAUAAGCACCGGCUAACUACGUGCCAGCAGCCGCGGUAAUACGUAGGGUGCGAGCGUUAAUCGGAAUUACUGGGCGUAAAGCGCGCGUAGGUGGUUUGUUAAGUUGAAUGUGAAAUCCCCGGGCUCAACCUGGGAACUGCAUCCAAAACUGGCAAGCUAGAGUAUGGUAGAGGGUAGUGGAAUUUCCUGUGUAGAGGUGAAAUGCGUAGAUAUGCGGAGGAACACCGAUGGCGAAGGCAAUCCCCUGGACCUGUACUGACGCUCAUGCACGAAAGCGUGGGGAGCAAACA